AACGAACGCUGGCGGCAUGCCUAACACAUGCAAGUCGAACGAGACCUUCGGGUCUAGUGGCGCACGGGUGCGUAACGCGUGGGAAUCUGCCCUUGGGUCCGGAAUAACUCAGAGAAAUUUGAGCUAAUACCGGAUGAUGACGUAAGUCCAAAGAUUUAUCGCCCAGGGAUGAGCCCGCGUAGGAUUAGCUAGUUGGUGAGGUAAAGGCUCACCAAGGCGACGAUCCUUAGCUGGUCUGAGAGGAUGAUCAGCCACACUGGGACUGAGACACGGCCCAGACUCCUACGGGAGGCAGCAGUGGGGAAUAUUGGACAAUGGGCGAAAGCCUGAUCCAGCAAUGCCGCGUGAGUGAUGAAGGCCUUAGGGUUGUAAAGCUCUUUUACCCGGGAUGAUAAUGACAGUACCGGGAGAAUAAG
rnacentral:rRNA from 1 species